rnacentral:rRNA from 1 species
AGCGGGCGUAGCAAUACGUCAGCGGCAGACGGGUGAGUAACGCGUGGGAACGUACCUUUUGGUUCGGACAACUGAGGGAAACUUCAGCUAAUACCGGAUAAGCCCUUACGGGGAAAGAUUUAUCGCCGAAAGAUCGGCCCGCGUCUGAUUAGCUAGUUGGUGAGGUAAUGGCUCACCAAGGCGAUGAUCAGUAGCUGGUCUGAGAGGAUGAUCAGCCACAUUGGGACUGAGACACGGCCCAGACUCCUACGGGAGGCAGCAGUGGGGAAUAUUGGACAAUGGGCGAAAGCCUGAUCCAGCCAUGCCGCGUGAGUGAUGAAGGCCCUAGGGUUGUAAAGCUCUUUUGUGCGGGAAGAUAAUGACG